AUGGGGGUCUCUGAGAACAGUGAUGGUCUAGAGAGGUUGAGAGACAGCACCAAGCCCUCACGUCUGGUAAAUAUCAGGGCCUUGUACUUCCUGAGCAGUUACUCGGUGUGUAAUUUGAGAGCUAAGGAGUGGGAUCGGGCAGGGGCGGGGUGCAGGGAGAGAAAGGGGAGAGAUGCCUUGGAGGUCAUAAGGCUCCCUUCUCCCAUGACACUAACCCCAUAUCGUAGCCGUCUGUCAGCCUCUCUGUGCCCCCAUCAAGACUGAUCUUCCUGGGCAGGAACCAUGUCCCGUUCAUUCGUCUCCAUUACCCCUGAACAGAUGCAUUGACCCCUCCUGCUGCUGCUCAGACAGACUUGGAGGGAAGGAGGGCGCUCCAGCGGACAUCCUUCACCCAGGGCACUCUCCCAGCCACCUCCCGGGGGAAGCUCAGGUCCAGGAGACUCACGUGCCUGGGCUGCAGAUAUCAUGCAGGCAGGACCAGCUCUGCUGAGGGAGGCCCCGCCUAGGGGAGAGACCGACCUCCCUGCUCAAGAAAGGCUCUACAAGCCAGGCCAGCCAGUGAGCAUCUCGCCGGACUAGAGAGCUGCAACCCCAGCUCCCGGCAAAGGCAGCCGUGGAUCGUCUCGUGCGCAGCACUGCCCUCUGGUGGCCACUGGGAGCCUAGACGCAGACGAUCUCGGCAGGCAGGAAGCCAAAGGCGUUAAGGCUUGUUUACGGGGACCUCAGUCGUGAUGUGCGGAGAACACGGAAGAGACGCAGUUGUGCGUGCGCAAAGACGCCCCCGAUGCGCGCACACAGCCCGUUUUACCGUGGGAGGCAGCCCAGAUUAGGACUGCGAGUCUAAGACUGCUCCCUUCAUCCCUCUCUCUUUGCAGGAGUCUAAGGGCUCCUUUCCCUGCCUCUGGAAGAGCCUAGAUCCCUCAGCCCCAGAGCAGACGCUGGCAGAGGGCGGGAGGACGAGAGCCUCACCAGCUGGGGAGGCGGCCUUGCACGUUCUGGUCUCGCUGUGCUAGGAACUCGCUGGGUGACUGAGUCCAGUCUAUUCAUUUCUCUGGAGCCUCAGGUUCCCGCUCUGUAAAACGGGGUUUGGCCCUAAUUGUUCCUGAGCCCCUUUCCAGGUCAGAUGAUUUAUGGUUCAAAGUCUUGAUCUUUUUUCAUAAU
rnacentral:lncRNA from 1 species